rnacentral:lncRNA from 1 species
AAAAGAAGAAGAAGAAGAAGAAGAAGAGGCUGGAGUCCCACUGAACCUACAGAAUUCAUCAUUGCCGCCGAGACAAGCGAAGAGGCUGGAGUCCUACUGAACCCGACCCAUGGUCUCACCUACAACGCUACCGUGAUUCAAUGGUAAGUUGGUAACCCAUUAGCAGUCCACUCAUAUUCAGAGUGGCCCAAUUUCAGCACUGCAGAUUUCUGUUUUCCAUAGGAGAAGAUGCGGCAACUUUGGUGCCGGAAAUCAUUGUGGGUUUCUUGUUAUGCUUUACGAUGCUAUUGUCCAAGAGAGGACUCGACUCCUUGUGAUUUUUCCAGUUGUUCCUGCUCGUGUGUAAAGCAUUAUUAGGUUUAAAUGANNN